rnacentral:rRNA from 1 species
GAACGGGUGAGUAACACGUAGGUGACCUACCCUUGGGGUUGGGGAUAGCCUGUGGAAACACAGGGUAAUACCGAAUACGCUUUUCCGGUUAUGAUUGGAAAAGGAAAGGUGCUUCGGCACCACCCCAGGAUGAGCCUGCGGUCCAUUAGCUAGUUGGCGGGGUAAAGGCCCACCAAGGCGACGAUGGAUAUCCGGCCUGAGAGGGUGAACGGACACACUGGGACUGAGAUACGGCCCAAACUCCUACGGGAGGCAGCAGCUAAGAAUCUUCCGCAAUGGACGAAAGUCUGACGGAGCGACGCCGCGUGGAUGAUGAAGGCCGAAAGGUUGUAAAAUCCUUUUAUCAGUGAAGAAUAAUGUAAGGAGGGAAUGCCUUACAGAUGACAUUAGCUGAAAAUAAGCCCCGGCUAAUUACGUGCCAGCAGCCGCGGUAACACGUAUGGGGCAAGCGUUGUUCGGAAUUAUUGGGCGUAAAGGGUGCGCAGGCUGCGCUAUAAGUCAGGUGUUAAAGGUUAGGGCUCAACCCUAUCAUGCCGCUUGAAACUGUAGUGCUAGAGUUCUAGAGGGGAAGCUGGAAUUCCUGGUGUAGGGGUGAAAUCUGUAGAUAUCAGGAAGAACACCGGUGGCGAAGGCGAGCUUCUGGCUAUGAACUGACGCUGAGGCACGAAAGUAUGGGGAGCAAACAGGAUUAGAUACCCUGGUAGUCCAUACUGUAAACGUUGUACACUAGGUGUCGGGGUGUUAAUCUCGGUGCCGUAGCAAACGCGAUAAGUGUACCGCCUGGGGAGUAUGCCGGCAACGGUGAAACUCAAAGGAAUUGACGGGGGCCCGCACAAGCGGUGGAGCAUGUGGUUUAAUUCGAUACGCGAGGAACCUUACCAGGGCUUGACAUAUACAGGAAUACGGUAGAGAUAUCGUAGCUCUUCGGAGCUUGUAUACAGGUGCUGCAUGGCUGUCGUCAGCUCGUGCCGUGAGGUGUUGGGUUAAGUCCCGCAACGAGCGCAACCCCUACUGUCAGUUACUAACAGGUAAUGCUGAGGACUCUGGCGGAACUGCCGGUGACAAACCGGAGGAAGGUGGGGAUGACGUCAAGUCAUCAUGGCCCUUAUGUCCUGGGCUACACACGUGCUACAAUGGCCGGUACAGAGUGAUGCGGAGCCGCGAGGUGGAGCGAAACGCAGAAAGCCGGCCUCAGUACAGAUUGGAGUCUGAAACUCGACUCCAUGAAGGUGGAAUCGCUAGUAAUCGCGCAUCAGAAUGGCGCGGUGAAUACGUUCCCGGGCCUUGUACACACCGCCCGUCACACCACCCGAGUUGGGGGUACCCAAAGCCGGUAGUUUAACCAGUAAUGGAGGACGCUGUCUAAGGUACGCCUGGUAAGGGGGGUGAAGUCGUAACAAGGUA